rnacentral:rRNA from 1 species
AGGAUGAACGCUGGCGGCGUGCCUAACACAUGCAAGUCGAACGUCCUGUCUCGCAAGAGGCAGGGAGUGGCGGACGGUGAGUACCACGUGGGUCAUCUACCGUGAGGUGAGGAAUACCGGCGAGAAAUCGCCGACAAGACCGCAUAGGCUCGAUGCAAGUCGAGCAAAGCUCUUUCGAGAGAGGGAGCGCCACACGAGGAGCCUGCGCCCGAUUAGCUAGCUGGUGGAGUAACGGUUCACCAGGGCGACGAUCGGUAGCUGGUCUGAGAGGACGAUCAGCCACACUGGGAUUGAGAACGGCCCAGACUCCGUACGGGGGGCAGCAGUGAGGAAUUUUUCGCAAUGGGGGCAACCCUGAACGAGCAACGCCGCGUGCAGGAAGAAGGUUUUCGGAUCGUAAACUGCUUUUCUCGGGGAAGAGAACGGACGGUACCCGAGGAAUCAGCCCCGGCUAACUACGUGCCAGCAGCCGC